AGCAGCCGCCGCGGGAAUACGAAGGGUGCAAGCGUUACUCGGAAUUACUGGGCGUAAAGCGUGCGUAGGUGGUGGUUUAAGUCCGUUGUGAAAGCCCUGGGCUCAACCUGGGAAUUGCAGUGGAUACUGGGUCACUAGAGUGUGGUAGAGGAUAGCGGAAUUUCCGGUGUAGCAGUGAAAUGCGUAGAGAUCGGAAGGAACAUCUGUGGCGAAGGCGACUAUCUGGGCCAACACUGACACUGAGGCACGAAAGCGUGGGGAGCAAACAGGAUUAGAUACCCGCGUAGUCCCUGUCUCUUAUAC
rnacentral:rRNA from 1 species